rnacentral:rRNA from 1 species
UAACGCGUGGGCAACCUGCCCCGUGCCGGGGGAUACCGCCUGGAAACAGGCGCUAAUACCGCAUAACACAUAGGUGUCGCAUGGCAUUUAUGUCAAAGAUUUAUCGCUGAGAGAUGGCCUCGCGUCUGAUUAGCUAGUUGGUAGGGUAACGGCCUACCAAGGCGACGAUCAGUAGCCGGACUGAGAGGUUGGCCGGCCACAUUGGGACUGAGAUACGGCCCAGACUCCUACGGAAGGCAGCAG